rnacentral:rRNA from 1 species
AGAACGAACGCUGGCGGCAGGCCUAACACAUGCAAGUCGAGCGACCCAGCAAUGGGGAGCGGCAGACGGGUGAGUAACACGUGGGAACGUACCCUUCGGUUCGGAACAACUCGGGGAAACUUGAGCUAAUACCGGAUACGUCCGAGAGGAGAAAGAUUUAUCGCCGAAGGAUCGGCCCGCGUCUGAUUAGCUAGUUGGUGAGGUAACGGCUCACCAAGGCGACGAUCAGUAGCUGGUCUGAGAGGAUGAUCAGCCACAUUGGGACUGAGACACGGCCCAAACUCCUACGGGAGGCAGCAGUGGGGAAUAUUGGACAAUGGGCGCAAGCCUGAUCCAGCCAUGCCGCGUGAGUGAUGAAGGCCUUAGGGUUGUAAAGCUCUUUUACCUGGGAAGAUAAUGACGGUACCAGGAGAAUAAGCCCCGGCUAACUUCGUGCCAGCAGCCGC